AUUCCUACGGGAGGCAGCAGUGGAGAAUAUUGCACAAUGGGCGCAAGCCUGAUGCAGCAACGCCGCGUGCGGGAUGACGGCCUUCGGGUUGUAAACCGCUUUCAGCAGGGACGAAGUGAAAAUGACGGUACCUGCAGAAGAAGCACCGGCUAACUACGUGCCAGCAGCCGCGGUGAUACGUAGGGUGCGAGCGUUGUCCGGAUUUAUUGGGCGGAAAGAGCUUGUAGGCGGUCUGUCACGUCGAAAGUGCAAACUCAGGGCUUAACCCUGAGCCUGCUUUCGAUACGGGCUGACUAGAGGAAGGUAGGGGAGAAUGGAAUUCCCGGUGGAGCGGUGGAAUGCGCAGAUAUCGGGAGGAACACCAGUGGCGAAGGCGGUUCUCUGGACCUUUCCUGACGCUGAGAAGCGAAAACGUGGGGAGCAAACAGGCUUAGAUACCCUGGUAGUCCACGCCGUAAACGGUGGGUACUAGGUGUGGGGGACAUUCCACGUUCUCUGUGCCGUAGCUAACGCAUUAAGUACCCCGCCUGGGGAGUACGGCCGCAAGGCUAAAACUCAAAUGAAUUGACGGAAU
rnacentral:rRNA from 1 species